rnacentral:rRNA from 1 species
GACAGAGGUCCCGAGCGUUAGGCGGAAUCACUGGGCUUAAAGCGUGUGUAGGCGGACUUCUAAGUGCCUUGUGAAAUCCCACGGCUUAACCGUGGAACUGCUUGGUAUACUGGUUGUCUUGGGCCAUCUAGGGGCUACUGGAACAAACGGUGGAGCGGUGAAAUGCGUAGAUAUCGUUUGGAACGCCAAUGGUGAAAACAAGUAGCUGGGGAUGUGCCGACGCUGAGACACGAAAGCCAGGGGAGCGAACGGG